rnacentral:rRNA from 1 species
UAAUACGUAGGGUGCAAGCGUUGUCCGGAAUUAUUGGGCGUAAAGAGCUCGUAGGUGGUUUGUCGCGUCUGCUGUGAAAACCUCCCGCUCAACGGGGGCCUGCAGUGGGUACGGGCAGACUAGAGUGCAGUAGAGGAGUCUGGAAUUCCUGGUGUAGCGGUGGAAUGCGCAGAUAUCAGGAGGAACACCGGUGGCGAAGGCGGGACUCUGGGCUGUUACUGACGCUGAGGAGCGAAAGCAUGGGGAGCGAACAGGAUUAGAUACCCUGGUAGUCCAUGCCGUAAACGUUGGGCACUAGGUGUGGGGUCCAUUCCACGGAUUCCGUGCCGUAGCUAACGCAUUAAGUGCCCCGCCUGGGGAGUACGGCCGCAAGGCUAAAACUCAAAGGAAUUGACGGGGGCCCGCACAAGCGGCGGAGCAUGCGGAUUAAUUCGAUGCAACGCGAAGAACCUUACCAAAGGCCUUGACAUACACCGGUAACGGCCAGAGAUGGUCGCCCCCCUUGUGGUCGGUGUAC